rnacentral:tRNA from 1 species
UGCGGGGUCGUCUAAUGGUAGGACACAGCUCUUUGGAAGCUGUUAUUGGGGUUCGAAUCCCUGCCCCGCAG